UUUAUGUCCUAUCAUCCUAAAUGUGCCCAAUCUUGUCUGAUAUUGGAAGCUAAGCAGGGUUGGCUUGGUUAGUAGUUGGAGAGGGAGGGAGAAAGAGCUAUUUAUAUCUAAAU
ensembl:rRNA 5S_rRNA 5S ribosomal RNA